rnacentral:sRNA from 1 species
AUGUACCACGCGUACACUGCGGUUCCUCCACGCCAUCCGCAUCCACCCGACGACCGCUCGCUACGGUUUGUUGGCC